GAUGAACGCUGGCGGCGUGCCUAAUACAUGCCAGUCGAGCGAACAGAUGAGGAGCUUGCUCCUCUGACGUUAGCGGCGGACGUGUGAGUAACACGUGGAUCACCUACCUAUAAGACUGGGAUAACUUCGGGAAACCGGAGCUAAUACCGGAUAAUAUAUUGAACCGCAUGGUUCAAUAGUGAAAGACGGUUUUGCUGUCACUUAUAGCUGGAUCCGCGCCGCAUUAGCUAGUUGGUAAGGUAACGGCUUACCAAGGCAACGAUGCGUAGCCGACCUGAGAGGGUGAUCGGCCACACGGGAACUGAGACACGGUCCAGGCUCCUACGGGAGGCAGCAGUAGGGAAUCGUCCGCAAUGGGCGAAAGCCUGACGGAGCAACGCCGCGUGAGUGAUGAAGGUCUUCGGAUCGUAAAACUCUGUUAUUAGGGAAGAACAAAUGUGUAAGUAACUAUGCACGUCUUGACGGUACCUAAUCAGAAAGCCACGGCUAACUACGUG
rnacentral:rRNA from 1 species